UGGCAACUGCCUGUGAGGAAAGGCACCUGCUUCCUACUCUCAAAAUCAGAUGCUGUAUAUAAUAAUGUUGUUGAAGUGGGGCCCAGGCAAUACUUUAUCGUUUCACUUUGAACGCUGUUUUUGAACUCAAGUCAUUUAUAAAAGAUUUUCAAAAUUUGCCUGCAAACCAGAAGCAGAACCACAUAUUGCACCACACCACUGCAAUAAAUACUAAGGAAGGUUGAACAUUUCACAAAAGGAAAACUACCAGAAAGAGUUUGAGGUUUUGACUUCAUCCAGACGCCUCUGGUUUACUACUAAAAUUUCCAGCAAAACAGACUGAAUUUUUGCAAUGCUUUUUGCUUUCAAUAGAGCUAUGCAUUCUGCCAAGCCAUGGUUGCUGGAUGAGCAAAGUCUUCCAAGACAGUCUCUGCAGCAACAGAUGCAGGACUGAAGGCUGGAAGUGACAUGAAGCAUAGAAGGUCUAAUUAAAAUUACACAGGGCAGCAAAAUGAAUGAACUUUGAAAAUCCUGAGUCUGAGCAAUAGAGGGACAACCUGGAGUCCUUCAGGAAUGACCUGUGAAGAUGUGAUCCUCUGGAACCACUGCCAGUCUUGGUACCAGUCUGGACAGAUGGCACUGCAGAAUAUCUACAGUUUGUCUUUAAAAUAUAUGCAAAGACUUCAUAAGGUGAGGCUUAUAAACAGCCCAUACUGGUUGGACAAACAAGAUACCACCUGUCUCAACACACACCACUUGUUGAUGUUCAUACACCAUAGACCAAGUGCUAGAAUAUGUGGUUUUGUAUUUUGAGGAUCUUACCACAUCUACCUCAUUUCUGAUGACACAGAAGAGGCAGUGGUCUGUGAAAGCCUGGUAGCAGCAGAUUUGUUUCCAUGUUCUGUCUCUAGAAUGAGAUGGUCCUUAUCAAACACCACCAAGCGUGGAAGUGAAGCUUCUAGAAGCACAUGCGCAUGUGGCCUCCCCACUCUGUCAUGGAGGGAUCUCUUAUGGGUUGGUUCCUUCUGAAGCCCUCCCCGUUUUUAGCCAUACUCUUCCAGAACAGUUAGAAAACCUUUAAAGCAGUGUUUUCCAAAGAACCAUGUGUGGGAAAGCAGCCAGAGCCCAGGAAAGGCUGGUAAGAGGAUGUAUGCUAAUGAGGAAACUGUCCUGGUAGAUGGGAUAAUGAUUGAGCCUUCUUAGGAGGGAAGAGACGAGGGAAAACCAUUGGAAAAGUGCCAGAACAGAGUGAUUAAAAGUCCUUUCAUUUUAUAUUACGGAGUGGCUGAAGGCUGCCAGCCUUGUUUGAAUUUAAUGGGAGCUUGUCCUUGACCCGUGUUCAUGCUGCAUCACAUGAGUCACGGCCGUGGCAUCCUGCGAGAGCAGGUGUCUGAUUGGGCGGAGGAGCUGCUGCUGCACCGCAGCCAGCGGGCACACGGUGCCUCCGGUGCCGCACAGGUAAGGCGGGAGGCAGGCAAAGUGCUGUGCUCUGCCCCGCUCCCCCUCUGCCCGUCGGGGCUGCCUGACCGCCGUGAGAGCAUCAUCCCCGGCGGGGCUCACCCCUCCUCCGGCCGAGCCUGAGCUGGACGCCGCAGGUUGUUGUUGUGUUGCCGCGGGGCACUGCACCGGGUGCCCCCCACCUGGCCAAGGGUUUGCAAGCGCCGCUGCAGGGCUGGGACGGGAACACGCAGCCGCUCGCCCCUCGGGCGGACCGAGCGCCUCUCGCCGCAGCGCUGGGUCCAUGUGGCACGGCUGAGCAGCCGAUCGCUCGGGCUGAGCGCUGCCGGCGACCCUUUCCCCUCCUGCCGCCCUGUGGGCCCUGCAAGCAACUUCUGCGCCGGCGUUAAGCCCCGCGGGCCUCUCCGCCCGGCCGCGGCUCU